rnacentral:rRNA from 1 species
GACCGCCUACGGGAGGCAGCAGUGAGGAAUAUUGGUCAAUGGGCGGAAGCCUGAACCAGCCAAGUCGCGUGAGGGAAUAAGGCCCUACGGGUCGUAAACCUCUUUUGCCGGGGAGCAAGGGCGGGGACGUGUCCCGGCCCGGAGAGUACCCGGAGAAAAAGCAUCGGCUAACUCCGUGCCAGCAGCCGCGGUAAUACGGAGGAUGCGAGCGUUAUCCGGAUUUAUUGGGUUUAAAGGGUGCGUAGGCGGGCUUUUAACUCAGCGGUAAAAAUUCGGGGCCCAACCCCGUCGGGCCG